UACGGGGAUGGCGAGCGUUACUCGGAUUUAUUGGGUGUAAAGGGCAGGUAGGUGGCUAUGUAAGUUGUAGGUGAAAUCCUUAGACUCAAUCUAAGAACUGCCUACAAAACUGCAUAGCUUGAGUCCAGAAGAGGAGAGCGGAAUUCCUGGUGUAAGGGUGAAAUCUGUAGAGAUCAGGAGGAACACCUGUGGCGAAAGCGGCUCUCUGGUCUGGUUCUGACACUCAGCUGCGAAAGCUAGGGGAG
rnacentral:rRNA from 1 species